rnacentral:tRNA from 2 species
CGAGGGUUCGAAUCCCUCUCUUUCCG